rnacentral:rRNA from 1 species
UACGAAGGGGGCUAGCGUUGCUCGGAAUCACUGGGCGUAAAGCGCACGUAGGCGGAUUGCUAAGUCAGGGGUGAAAUCCUGGAGCUCAACUCCAGAACUGCCUUUGAUACUGGCGACCUUGAGUCCGGGAGAGGUGAGUGGAACUGCGAGUGUAGAGGUGAAAUUCGUAGAUAUUCGCAAGAACACCAGUGGCGAAGGCGGCUCACUGGCCCGGUACUGACGCUGAGACUCGAAAGCGUGGGGAGCAAACAGG